rnacentral:sRNA from 1 species
AUUACAAGUUAUAAAGGAAUCAAAAUAGCUAUUGGUACUCAAAUGGUACCGGAAGUAAAAAAGAAUACUUAAAAUAAUCGUUCCAAGUGGCGUACAUUUGGACAAAAAAUUAGACCGUAGUCUUUAGGCUGC